ACUCAAAGGAAUUGACGGGGGCCCGCACAAGCAGCGGAGCGUGUGGUUUAAUUCGAGGCUACACGAAGCACCUUACCUGGACUUGACAUGGGGCGGAACGAGGCUGAAAGGCUGAGGUUCGCAAGACCGCUCCACAGGUGCUGCAUGGCUGUCGUCAGCUCGUGCCGUGAGGUGUUAGGUUAAGUCCUGUAACGAGCGCAACCCCUGGGUCCAGUUACACGUAGUCUGGACCGACUGCCCCCGACAAGUGGGAGGAAGGUGGGGAUGACGUCAAGUCAGCAUGGCCUUUAUGUCCAGGGCUACACACACGCUACAAUGGCCGGUACAAUGGGUCGCCAAGCCGCAAGGCGGAGCCAAUCCAGCAAAGCCGGUCACAGUUCGGAUUGUGGGCUGCAACCCGCCCACAUGAAGUCGGAGUUGCUAGUAACCGCGCGUCAGCCAUAGUGCGGUGAAUACGUUCCCGGGCCUUGCACACACCGCCCGU
rnacentral:rRNA from 1 species